rnacentral:rRNA from 1 species
CAUAAUCAUUAGUUUUUUAAUUGGGAGCUUGUAUGAAAGAUUGGACAAGAAGAAAACUGUUUCUAUAAUAAAAUUUGAAUUUAACUUUUAAGUUAAAAGGCUUAAAUAAUCUAAAGGGACGAUAAGACCCUAUAAAUCUUUAUAUAAGAAGAAAUUUAAUAAAUAUAAGUUGUAGAAUUAAGGUUUGUAUUAUAUUUAAUUGGGGUGAUAUAAUUAUAAAUAUAGGUAACUAAUUAUUAAAUACAGACAAUUUGUUUGAAUAUUUAAUUGAUCUUUGGUAAAGAAUAAGAGAUUAAGUUACUUUAGGGAUAACAGCAUAAUUUUUUCUGAGAGUUCAUAUUAAAGAAGAAGAUUGUGACCUCGAUGUUUAAUUAAAAUUUCUUUAUAGUGCAGUAGCUAUAGAAG